GUCCUAGCCCUAAACGAUGGGUACUAAGUGUUGGGCGGCCGACCCGCUCAGUGCUGCAGCUAACGCGUUAAGUACCCCGCCUGGGGAGUACGACCGCAAGGUUGAAACUCAAAGGAAUUGACGGGGGCCCGCACAAGCGGUGGAGCAUGUGGUUUAAUUCGACGCAACGCGAAGAACCUUACCCAGGCUUGACAUUCUAGGGACAGCCCCAGAGACGGGGUCUUCCUUCGGGACCCUAGAACAGGUGCUGCAUGGCUGUCGU
rnacentral:rRNA from 1 species